rnacentral:rRNA from 1 species
ACUCAAAUGAAUUGACGGGGACCCGCACAAGCGGUGGAGCAUGUGGAUUAAUUCGAUACUAACCGAAGAACCUUACCCAGGUUUGACAUCGAUUGUAAGCCCGAGAGAUCGGGCCCUCCCUCACAAGGGGACAUGAAGACACUUGUUGCAUGGCUGUCGUCAGCUCGUGCCGUGAGGUGUGCGGUUAAGUCCGUAAACGAGCGCAACCCUCGUCCUAUGUUGCCAGCGAGAAAGUCGGGAACUCAUAGGAGACCGCCGGUGUAAGCCGGAGGAAGGUGGGGAUGACGUCAAGUCAGCAUGGCAGUUACGCCUGGGGCUUCACACAUGCUACAAUGGGCGCAACAAAGGGAAGCAAUACCGCGAGGUGGAGCCAACCCCAAAAAUACGCCCCCAGUUCAGAUUGCAGUCUGCAACUCGACUGCAUGAAGGCGGAAUCGCUAGUAAACGCAGGUCAGCUAUACUGCGUUGAAUACGUUCCCGGGUCUUGCACACACCGCCCGU